AGCCCGGCUCAGGGGGCAGCCCGGCUCCUGAGGCAGCCCGGCUCCUUAGGCAGCUCGGCUCUGGGAGCAGCUCGGCUCCGGGGGCAGCCCGGCUCCGGGAGCAGCCCGGCUCCUGGAGCUCCCCAGCCAGCCUGAACUGCUGCGGUGUGCGGCCGGCAGCCCCAGAGCUGCUCCGUUCAGGGGUAACCCUGUCCAGGGACACCGCGCCCCGUACAGUAGGAUGGGGCUGCUCCAGCCUGCUCAGCCCCUGACCCGCACAUCCUCCCUCCUUCCGCUCACCCGCCGUGUUUAUCCCUGCCGCAGGCGGGAUCAGACACGGGAUGCCCACUGAGGGAUGCGAAGAAGGUGAAACGUUUGAUACUUUCCUGAAGCACAGCUAUCCAAGCAGGUUGCACCUGUUCUUAAGGACAGCACCCAUGGAUGAAGGCAGAGCAGGCACAAAGCCAGCAUUUGACAGCAGAAUGAUCUUCAAGCACCUACAUGGCUUGGGCAGAGCUCUUGCCACCCUGGCUCCACUCUUUCCACACCCAGGCCUGGGCAAGAUUGAAACUGUGAACGAGAAGCUGGCCAGCACAGAGCCCAAAACACAAUCUCAGAAGAGUCUGUGCCAAUUUAUUAAUUGUCUGUAGAGUGGGACCUGGCAGAAGGAAGCACAGCCUGCCUUCAUGGAGGGACACAUGUUUGGGACUGCAGCAGUGAGGGGUAAAGCUCACCCUGCAUGUGCCUUCACUGACUGCACUGCUUUGUGCUCCAACUAAGUCAUGGCUGGCCCAGGCAAGUGGCUGGGACAGCAAGGCUGCACUGGUUGAUAUUAGCUCUGCUUGAGGCUGAGAGGCUGCAUCUGGUUUGGAUCUCUCUGACUGCUGCUGUGCUCUGUGCAGAUUGAGAUUUGAGCUAGGAGAGCCCAGAGCUGCACCCUGCCACAGCCUGGCUCAGCACAGCUCUGGAGGCACAGGCUGGUCUAAUGCACUUUAUUACUGCUCUUUAUUAUCAGGCUCCACUAAUGAAUUCCACUAAUGUGCAAAACCCUGCAUGACAAAGCAGCCCUUGAUCUUCUUCCACGCCCUUGCUUCCAAGCCCUGUAAGGCUUCCUGCUCUAGCUGAGGAGUUCCACUUGGGACAGGCAGCACAGCUCAGCAGAUGCCAAAGGUGUAUAAUCCUGAAGUGAGCUAACUGAGCCUGGGUGCUUCCUCUCCCGGGGUCUCACUGCUGGUUCUUGCACAGGGAGGACACCUGGGUUUUCACCAGGCCAGGAGCUAUCUUGCAUUUUGGCCUGGAGCUGGUUUAAAUCACGUUCCCUGGCAGUGGCUCCUGCUUUCCGAUCACAGGCAUUAAAAGCUUGCCCCCUGGGUUGGGACAAAGAGGGCAAUUGCUAUUUAAUGAAUGGAGCUGGGCAUAUCAUCCAUGGUCCUGCAGCCAUCAUUCCUCAAACACAAAGGUUCUGCCACCCUUCCUUCCCGAGGCAUGGGAUCCUCAUGGAGCAGGGCUGCAAGCUUUGGUAAUAAACUGACCCUGCAGAGAAGAGAAGGAAGGAGAGAGCUCCUGCUGCCCUUGGCAUGGUGCAGGCAGCCCAGGGCAAUUAUCACAAUGAGACAUCAUUGUUUUUUCAUUCUGAGUGCUAAGCUAUAUAAACAGAAUAAAAUAUCAUGCAGAGGACUGCUUACAUAUUGCCUGUGACUUUUGUAUAUCUUAAUUUAAGAGUUUACAAAUUAUAGUCCUUCUGCCUAGCCAGCAGCUAUUGAGCUCCCAGAAGGAAGCUCUUUGGCCACUUCUGUUUGUACUGUCCAAAUGUCUGUAGAAGAAAUACCCUGGGAAGAGAACCUGUCACAUUGUCCAUCACUGCAUACAGUGGGCUCUUACCUCUUGCUGUGCCUUUGGAGACCACUUUGUUCUCCUAUUCCUUUCCUUUAACUGGCUCUGUCUUUACUCAUUGGAGGCCUUGUACUUAGACAAGAUCCAAAUUUUGCAUAAUAAAAGGGCUCCCUAAUAGCUGGCAGUGCAUCCUGCUGUUCCCUAUGUCCCGUUGUUGAAGAUUAAACAGAUGUAAAAUUAGGAGCUGAAUCUCUCUGCAUUUGGGGGUCCUUGUCCAUAGCUGGAGAUGAGAGAUUAAGAUGUGACCUUUUCCCAGGAAAAGCAAUUUAAGAGAUAAAGAAAUUAUAAUCCUUAACAAACCUUUCUCCAAAGAAUUUCGCUUUAAAUCCCACUGGCCAUGUACAUUUUUGCUCACAGCUUUCUUUGCUUCUCUUGACUGCACACUCCAGUGAAAUCCCACAUCCUUUACCAGAAAUGCUUUUGAAUGCUCCAUCCCCACCUACUCUUUUGGACCCCUAAGGGAGACAAAUAAACAGAAGGGAAGGUUUACUGCAAGCAGAAAAGAAGUCAACAAUUUCCCUUCACAACAGGAGACUUCACACAACUCAGCAUCUGCAGGCCUUCGUGCUGUAUUGCCCUGAGCAACUCAUGUUCCAGGGCAUGGUUUCCAGGCAGAACCAAGUCCCAGUCCAUACCAAUGCACACUAAUAUCUUCUUGGCAUGCCCUACUCCAUCUCUUUAGAACAGGCUCACAAUUGCUUGGCUUCAUCUUAGGGUGGUAAUCACAUAAAAAAGCCAGAAAAAGUAAUCACAUAAAAAAGUAGAAAGUGAGUUUAAUUUGUCUCCUGGCCUAGCAGCAGACUCUUUUCGGCAAAUGGUCAGAACUUGUGUUUAAAAGCUCAUUGCAAAAAACAGUAUCCAUGGCUGAUUGAGGUCUCAGUGUUGGGAAACCUUGAGAUCUGUAAGUGGAGAAGGAGCCCCAUUAAUUCCUGUCUAGACUGGCUUCUGAGCCCAGGUUCCAGAGAUGAAAGGACACUUUAUUAAGACAGGACAUAAAUCCACCCUGCCAACAAGUCCGCACUCCUCUGGAUUAUUUACACCUCUCUCCCUCCCUCUGGUCA